rnacentral:rRNA from 1 species
AUUGAACGCUGGCGGCAGGCUUAACACAUGCAAGUCGAGCGGGGAAAGGUAGCUUGCUCCCUAACCUAGCGGCGGACGGGUGCGUAAUGCUUAGGAAUCUUCCUAUUAGUGGGGGACAACAUCUCGAAAGGGAUGCUAAUACCGCAUACGUCCUACGGGAGAAAGCAGGGGACCUUCGGGCCUUGCGCUAAUCGAUGAGCCUAAGGCGGAUUAGCUAGUUGGGGGGGUAAAGGCCUACCAAGGCGACGAUCUGUAGCGGGUCUGAGAGGAUGAUCCGCCACACUGGGACUGAGACACGGCCCAGACUCCUACGGGAGGCAGCAGUGGGGAAUAUUGGACAAGGGGGGGAACCCUGAUCCAGCCAUGCCGCGUGUGUGAAGAAGGCCUUUUGGUUGUAAAGCACUUUAAGCGAGGAGGAGGCUACCGAGAUUAAUACUCUUGGAUAGUGGACGUUACUCGCAGAAUAAGCACCGGCUAACUCUGUG